UACGUAGGGUGCGAGCGUUUAAUCGGAAUUACUGGGCGUAAAGGGCGCGUAGGCGGCGUGUCAAGUCAGGCGUGAAAGCCCCGGGCUCAACCUGGGAACCGCGCUUGAGACUGGCAUGCUCGAGUUCGGGAGAGGAUGGUGGAAUUCCCAGUGUAGAGGUGAAAUUCGUAGAUAUUGGGAAGAACACCGAUGGCGAAGGCAGCCAUCUGGACCGACACUGACGCUGAGGCGCGAAAGCGUGGGGAGCAAACAGG
rnacentral:rRNA from 1 species